rnacentral:rRNA from 1 species
UACGUAGGGAGCAAGCGUUGUCCGGAAUUAUUGGGCGUAAAGCGCGCGUAGGUGGCCCCAUAAGUCCGCUGUGAAAGUCAAAGGCUCAACCUUUGAAAGCCGGUGGAUACUGUGGGACUAGAGUACGGAAGAGGCGAGUGGAAUUCCUGGUGUAGCGGUGGAAUGCGCAGAUAUCAGGAGGAACACCAAUAGCGAAGGCAGCUCGCUGGGACGUUACUGACACUGAGGCGCGAAAGCGUGGGGAGCGAACAGG